GGACCAUGUUUUGGAAAACAAUGGUCUAGAGCAUGACUGAAAUAUGAAAUAGUGAAUUCCUGUCCGUGUGAAUGCUCUUGUUUUUAUUCAUUUCCUUCCUUUAUGCAGCACUGGCCCCCUCACCUUUUCCUUUCCAGCUGUUUGGGGCUCAGCUAAGUGACCACACAGGAGAGCAGUGAGGCCAUUUGAGGCCUGAGCCUGGUCCUCAGGACUCGACUCUCUCACCCUGCCCUCAAGCAGCCUGCCCCAGCCCUGCCAGCCAUCUCCACACUCCUGACAGAAUGAAUGCCCUCGAUGGUGUUCCCUUCAAGUUGCCCAAGGGCUUUGUGAUAGGCACAGAGCCUCUCCCUGGGCCAGAACUCAGCGUCCCGGCCUGCGGGGAGGUUCUGCUGGGUUCUAUGCACGACUUCAGCCUGGAGAGGACGGCACUCUUCUGGGUGGAGGCCGCCGGCCAGGGACCCAGCCCGUACCAGUGCGGUGACCCGGGGACAGCGUCAGCCCCUCCAGCCUGGCUCUUGCUAGUCAGCACCGAACAUGGGCUGGCGCCUGCGCCCACCACAAUCAGAGACCCGGAGGCCGGACACCAGGAGAGGCCGGAGGAGGAGGGUGAGGACGAGGCAGAAGCCUCCUCUGGCAGCGAGGAAGAGCCGGCCCCCAGCAGCCUCCAACCGGGCUCCCCG
rnacentral:lncRNA from 1 species